CCACAAGUCUCCAUCCAUCAUUCUUGACUUAAAACCAUAUGUGUGUAAAUUACAGUAUGUGUAUAAAUUAUAUUAUGAUGGUAAUGUAUCUGGGUAGGGGCCCUCGAUGUCUGGAUAUGCUUAGAAUAAUAACUUACAAUAUUUCUACAUUCCUACAACACGUUGAAUACAUUUAAAGUUCAUAAAAAUAUUUUUCAAGUUCCCCUUUGAUGCUUUUUAUGUAAAUAUAAUGCAUCAUAAUUUAUUCCAUUUCCUUGUAAAACUUUAAUUUUGUGGUCAGGAAUUUACAUCUGUAUUCCACAUCCAUCAGUUGAGACAGUAAACAAUUGAUUCUUUUAAACAUAUACCAACUAAAGAAGAAUAAAACCAUAAUAAUAAUUAUCAAAAUUACCAAAGGAUGAGUUAUGAAGUGUGUCAUACCCAUAACUAAUCCUGUCUUUUGUCCCCCAAACCACCGUUGCCACCAGGAUGUGGUUUCUUCGAUAUAAUCAUGUUUAAUGCUUUUAAUCAUACCUUGCACUGUAUGUAAAUGUACUCCAGUUGCAGCUUUAUCAAUUACUUGUAUUAACUCUUCAUUGUUCUUUAACUGCUUAUAGAAAUCAACUCCGUAACCUAUGUUUACAUUAUAUAAAGUACGUUGAUCAUAUUUCAUAAUAGAAUCAGUCCUUUUUAAUAUGGGUGGUAUUAUAUUAUAAUAUUUACC